AUUGAACGCUGGCGGCAGGCCUAACACAUGCAAGUCGAACGAGUGGCGGACGGGUGAGUAAUGUCUGGGAAACUGCCUGAUGGAGGGGGCUAACUACUGGAAACGGUAGCUAAUACCGCAUACCAUCAGAUGUGCCCAGAUGGGAUUAGCUAGUAGGUGGGGUAAUGGCUCACCUAGGCGACGAUCCCUAGCUGGUCUGAGAGGAUGACCAGCCACACUGGAACUGAGACACGGUCGAGACUCCUGCGGGAGGCAGCAGUGGGGAAUAUUGCACAAUGGGCGAGAGCCUGAUGCAGCCAUGCCGCGUGUGUGAAGAAGGCCGUCGGGUUGUAAAGCACUUGCAGCGAGGAGGCGUGACUCGCAGAAGAAGCACCGGCUAACUCCGUGCCAGCAGCCGCGGUAAUUC
rnacentral:rRNA from 1 species